rnacentral:lncRNA from 1 species
GUUCUCUUUAGCAGAGCACUUCGAAGGCGAAGAGUCCAAGAGGGGGUUUUCUCGGUAGAGGAGGAGUUGAUAUCUCCAUUUGCCACUAUAGUUGACUGGUGCACCCAGGACCAGGUUUCUGCCAGUAAACAAGGGAUCUUCUACAAUGGCAAGAUCACGCCAUAUGCCCAGAAAGAAAGAAAGAUUUGCAACGAACCUCCAGAGAACAAUCCACUAUCCGAUGAUUGGGAGAGAGACAACGGAAAUAGGAAAGAUUGGAUUGUGCAUGGAGAAAACGCUGUUGGUCAACAAAUUUUCGAAUUGGUGGCAUAGUAGGAGGAGGGAAAAGACACCCGCUUAAACACCGAUUU